UCGCCGUGUGCGGCCCAAAACAAAAAAAGC
rnacentral:sRNA from 1 species